AUUGAACGCUGGCGGCAUGCUUUACACAUGCAAGUCGGACGAGUGGCGAACGGGUGAGUAACAUAUCGGAACGUACCGAGUAAUGGGGGAUAACUAAUCGAAAGAUUAGCUAAUACCGCAUAUUAUUCGAGCGGCCGAUAUCUGAGUGGCUGGUUGGUGGGGGAAAGGCCUACCAAGGCGACGAUCAGUAGCGGGUCUGAGAGGAUGAUCCGCAACAGGGUGACUGAGACACGGCCCAUAAUCCGAAGGGAGGCAGCAGUGGGGAAUUUUGGACAAGGGGCGCAAGCCUACGUCAGCCAGGCGGGGUGUCUGAAGAGGGCCUUCGGGUUGUAGGGGACGUUUGUCAGGGAAGCGGUACCUGAAGAAUAAGCACCGGCUAACUACGUGCCAGCAGCCGCGGUAAUAC
rnacentral:rRNA from 1 species